CUUCGGUGGUACUCGAGCGGCGAACGGGUGAGUAACACGUGAGUAAUCUGCCCUCCACUUUGGGAUAGCCACCGGAAACGGUGAUUAAUACCGGAUAUGACCUCGCAUCGCAUGGUGUGUGGUGGAAAGUUUUUCGGUGGGGGAUGUGCUCGCGGCCUAUCAGCUUGAUGGUGGGGUAAUGGCCUACCAUGGCUUCGACGGGUAGCCGGCCUGAGAGGGUGACCGGCCACACUGGGACUGAGACACGGCCCAGACUCCUACGGGAGGCAGCAGUGGGGAAUAUUGGACAAUGGGCGGAAGCCUGAUCCAGCAACGCCGCGUGAGGGAUGACGGCCUUCGGGUUGUAAACCUCUUUCAGCACAGACGAAGCGAAAGUGACGGUAUGUGCAGAAGAAGCACCGGCCAACUACGUGCCAGCAGCCGCGGUAAUACGUAGGGUGCGAGCGUUGUCCGGAAUUAUUGGGCGUAAAGGGCUCGUAGGCGGUUUGUCGCGUCGGGAGUGAAAACACACAGCUUAACUGUGUGCUGGCUUCCGAUACGGGCAGACUAGAGGUAUGCAGGGGAGAACGGAAUUCCUGGUGUAGCGGUGAAAUGCGCAGAUAUCAGGAGGAACACCGGUGGCGAAGGCGGUUCUCUGGGCAUUACCUGACGCUGAGGAGCGAAAGUGUGGGGAGCGAACAGGAUUAGAUACCCUGGUAGUCCACACCGUAAACGUUGGGCGCUAGGUGUGGGGCCUAUUCCAUGGGUUCCGUGCCGCAGCUAACGCAUUAAGCGCCCCGCCUGGGGAGUACGGCCGCAAG
rnacentral:rRNA from 1 species